ACUACGGGGGGCAGCAGUGAGGAAUAUUGGUCAAUGGACGAGAGUCUGAACCAGCCAAGUAGCGUGAAGGAUGACUGCCCUAUGGGUUGUAAACUUCUUUUAUAUGGGAAUAAAACGUUCCACGUGUGGGAUGUUGUAUGUACCAUAUGAAUAAGGAUCGGCGAACUCCGUGCCAGCAGCCGCGGUAAUACGGGGGAUCCGAGCGUUAUCCGGAUUGAAUGGGUUUAAAGGGAGGGUAGGGGGAUUGUUAAGUCAGUUGUGAAAGCUUGCGGCGCAACCUUAAAAUUGCAGUUGACACUGGCAUUCUUGAGUACAGUAGAGGUGGGCGGAAUGCGUGGUGUAGCGGUGAAAUGCUUAGAUAUCACGAAGAACUCCGAGUGCGAAGGCAGUUCACUGGACUGCAACUGACACUGAGGCUCGAAAGUGUGGGUAUCAAACAGGAUUAGAUACCCCGGUAGUC
rnacentral:rRNA from 1 species